UAUUUUAUCCUUCGUUAAAAAUAAAAUAAAAAUAGUUAAUGUAUACAUAUAUGUUUUAGUUUUAGGAUAUAGGAGAACGUGAAGUCCUGAGAUAUUUGUGAGUUCUAGUUUAGUUUUGUUUUUUUUUUUGGUUCGGUUCCAUACUUCCAUAUAUUUCUUUUGGGUUUUGGAUAAGACACUGAACCUGAAUACAUCAAUUGUUUUUUUCAAUAUAUUACAUCAAAUUGAAGUUAUGUUUGUUUGUGUGUUUGCAGUACAUAUAAUAUACACUUAAUAAGUAAGUGAUUAAAGCCAUACUUUAUGUUAAUACAGUUUUAAAAUUGUAAAUUAUUUUAUAUAAAUAAAAUUAGGAUUAAAUUUAUUGAAAAUUUUAAUAAAUAAUUUUAAAACAUUAAAAAUAUAAAAUCAGAAUUUUAAUUAAAUAUUUUAAAAUAUCAAAUCUCUAAAAUUGCUUUUUGACAAACCGAAUAACUAUUAGAGCACUAUUAGUGAUAGUACCUUAAAGGAUUUCUAACAAUUAAAAUAAUGAAAAAACUAAAAACGAGGAAAGAAAAAAAUAAAUAGUAAGAGACGAUCCUUUCUGCAGGUACUCCAAACGCAACUGUGAAAAACAUUUCUACAGGUGUAAAUCAUUUACUGGUUAAGUUGUUAAAAGUAAUUAAAUAUAAUUAUAAAAAUAAACAUCAUUAUUUUACUAUUAUUAAGAAACGUACACCAUCUCUCAUUGGUGCUGAUGCUCUUAAAUGUAAUUAUGUUGAUAUCUAAAGUAUCAUUUUUCUUUUAAGAAAACAACAUAAAACGUAAUUAACAAAAAUGUGUUAAGAGAUGCAACAAAAAUUAAAAUAUUAUGUGUGUACAAAAUUGAAUCUGGUAAACAAACAAAGAGAAAGAACUAUCUAAAACAAAAUUAACUUUAUAUCUAAACUAACCAACUGAUAAAUAAGAUCGACGAGUUCAAAAAACAAUAAGCCCAGAUGUUUUUUAUAGGUUAUACAUAAAUUAUAUCUUUUAGAUAAAAUAAAUUUAAUGAAAAAUUCAACUAGUAAAAAAUAUUUAAAAAAAGAAAUCAAUUUAAUAUAAUUUAUUUUUUUGAAUCAAGAUAAAAUAAAAUUUAACUAACAAAAGAAAAGAAUAAUUAUUUCUUAUCAUACUUAUCAAAAUAAAAUGGAAGUGAAAAAUAAACUACAAAUAAAUAAUUAUUUAAAAAUAGUAGUUUGAUAUAUCUGUUAACUUUUUUUAUGAUUAACACAGAAUUAAUAUAUAGGUAAUUUUUUUAAAAAACUGUUAAAAUCAUUUAUAUAAAUAUAAAAUAAGAAAUAAAUAUCAAAAUAGGUUAAAACAGCAUCAUACAAACAAACAACUUAUAAAUAUAAUGCACACAUGUAAUAUAAUUAGUUAAAUAUAUACUAUUAAAAGAGAAUCAUCAUAAAGAAUCUACUUAAAAAGGUUGUCGCACCUACUUAGUUAAUUGUUUGGCCAUAUAAUAAAUUAAUCUAACUAUACAAUAUCAAUCAAUGAUUCAAACCUUAUAUUUUCUCCUACAAUCAACCGGAAGUUAGAACUAAGCAAAUCACAUUUAUUUUAAUCAUAUGUCGAUGGUUUCCACCUAGGUAAUUCCACUUUCUUCCAUAUUAUACUUACCAUAUACAAAAGCUAUUUUAGACACAAUGGCAUUUUUAAAAUAUAAUAAUCAUGUGAACAUGAAUCUGAAUAGUAUUUAAUUAUAAAGUUACUCCAUAAAACAUUUCCUAAGUAUUUGAUAGCUUAUACAGUAAAAUAGACUUUUGUCUCUCCUUCUUGCGUCACGUCAUCAGGAAGAGGAGGCAAAUAGUGACACGUUGCAACUUUUUUAAUCUGAACAACACCCGACUUCGUGCUUUUCCAUCUCCGAACAACAGACACACGACUUCUUUCACUUAAAAAUUUCUGCAUGCUGGGCUAAUGGGUUUUCUAUAUGCUGGGAUAUUAAGAAUUUCUAUAAGCCCAUAUAUUUUUCGCGGCCCUCUUCUUCCUCAACUUUCUAUUGUCUAUCUUAUACAAUAAAGUAGACUUUUGUCCCUCUUCCUUGCGCCACGUCAUCAGGAAAAUGGGGCAAAUAGUGACACGUAACAACUUUUUUAAUCUGAACAACACCCGACUUCGUGCUUUUUCGUCUCCGAACAACAAACACACGACUUCUUUCACUUAAAAAUCUCUGCAUACUGGGCUAAUGAGUUUUCUAUAUGCUGGGCUAUUAAGAAUAUCUAUAAGUCCAUAUAUUUUUCGCGGCCCUCUUCUUCCUCAACUUUCUAUUGUUUAUCCUAUACAAUAAAGUAGACCUUUAUCCUUCCUCCUUGUGCGGCGUCAUCAGGAAGAGGGGGCAAAUAGUGACAUGUGGCAACUUUUUUAAUCUGAACAACACCCGACUUCGUGCUUUUCCGUCUCCGAACAACAAACACACGACUUCUUUCACAUAAAAAUAUCUGCAUGCUGGGCUAUUAAGAAUUUCUAUACACCCAUAUAUUUUUCUGAGGCCCUCUUCUUCCUCAACUUUCUAUUGUCUAUCUGCAUAAAAGAGGACGAUUGGUGCUUCUCUUCCUUGGCUUUCAACGGCGAGUAACGCUUCUUUUUGCAUUCAAAUAUGCCUGUAAUGAUCGCAAUAACCACCAUUAAACACUCUCCUUACUCCUGGACAUUUAUUUCAUCAUAGCUCCUCCCAUGGAAACGUUCUAAACCUAGGUCAUAAAUACUGCAGGAUUCAGGAUAUGGUAAUCAUCACUCACAACAAAUCCUUCCAAACUUCUGAUUUAAAGCUCUCCUUCCUCCGAUGGCCACCUCAUGUAUCCUCUAUAUGUUCCAUGAUGAUCCUGCCAUGGAAAAUUGUUUUGUAAUGUCUACGGCCGUAGGUUAGCGUUUUCAUAUCGUCCUUCUAAAGUUUUAUAUGUUUCAUCAUAAGUUUUCAUUUUCGUUGAUUUGGAUUGGAUUGGUGAUUUACAUGUGAAGUUCUGGCUGAUGCGGACAAGUCAAAACCGGAGGAAGUGGACUAAGGCUCCUAUGGUGAAGCUUAUUUUUCGAUAUCCACAUGUGUAUCACUGGUUUCAUAUGUUGUUUGCAUGUUUGGUAUUGGCGUGGUGUCCUGUAAACCAGAAAAACUCUCUCUGACUCUAGCAAGGUGAUGUUCGACUAAUGUGGUUGUUUGGUGAAACUCCAGAUUAUGUUAUGUACAGAAGAUAUGAUCCUAUGUUCAUCAUGGGCGUGUGUCAAAUACACAGUUAUUUGGUGUACACAGCAGCUCACCAGACGUGGUUACAGUUGGGAGGAUGUUUGGCUGCAUUGUUUAUUCUGAUGAACUGGUACCAGUUAAUGGGAAGCUUAUUCUCAUCUCCUCGAACUGCCCACCGUUGAGAAGAUCGGAGAUUGAAGAUUACGCAAUUCUCGCCAAAGUUGGUGUUCACCACUACAAUGGAAAUAACGUUGAUUUGGGGACAGCUUGUGGAAAGUACUUCCGUGUUUCUUUUCUGAGCAUUGUUGAUCCUGGUAAAAAGACCAAAACCUACUUACCUACCUUUUUACUACCCAAAUGUGUUGUUGGUUCUUCAUUGAUUCUUACUAAUGAGUUUUGUCUUUUUGACUGGUUUUGAUUCUGACAUUAUCAAGAGCAUUCUUGGUGAUCAGUGACCCAUUUUCGAUCUAAUACCAAACGUACUCUCAACAAUGGGAGAUUAUGUUUCUGGCAACAAAACGGUAAAAUCCAAUGAGAAAUCUGCCAAGAGAAAGAGAAAGAACCAGUACAUAGGAUUAGCCUGCGCUCUAGAGAAAACUGGCCGCUGAGAUCUAUGAUCAUAGAAAAAGCUCUCGAUAAUUGCUUGGAGCAUUCAACAUCGCUCAAGAAGAAUCAAGAGCUUAUGAUGUAGCUGCAUGCAGGAUCCGUGGUGAUAGAGCUGAGGUGAAUUUUCAAGAGGGGUUGAUCCCUAGCAUCUCCAAUAAACGUCAUGCUUCCUAAGACUUAUCCUAAAAACCAAUGGCUAAAAAAAACAAAAGCUAAAUGUUGGUUCAUGAAUGGUUUAAAAAAAUGAGGCGACACUAAGGCAGAAACGAGUUCCACCACGCUUCACAGCACCUUGGCGCUAUUUCAGACUCAGCGUUCAGCCGCCAACGCAUCUUAGUCGGUACUGCAACAACUCUUUUGACAACAUGGGGCAUGACUAUUUUGGUGAUGUGCGAGUUUUAUGGAAAAGAAGCUUCAGAUGUACACUAAUCAGUCCGAGUUAACAAACACCUCUGUUGGAGACAACAACAUAUACCAGUACUUCAGCUCCGAUCAGGGCAGUAACUCAUUCUACUGCUCUUGAUGUUGGUUGGAGUGACCACGAGCCAAUAUCACUUCAAUGCUAGAUAAUUUGGGAGUUGGAGGCGUUUCCGGCAUAUGUAUGCCGGUGAGAUUAAGAUUUUAACAGGGAUUAUAGGGAGGAGAUGUAGAGAUGCAAAAGAUGAUACAAGCAGCAUAAGAACUGAAACCAUAAGAGGUGGACAGCUCUCAUGUGAGGUCUGGCGACGGAAUAUGGAUUAAUUCUUAUUAGUAACAGUUUUGAUAAGAUUUAGACAGCCGCAUAUAUUUGUAUAAUUUUAAUCAUAAGAAGCAAAAAGAAUUAUGGGUAAUUUUCUUUAAAAAAAAAUCUGAUAAGAGAGUACAAAAAAAAUUGACUGCCCAUAAAUUAUUCACCUAUGUUUGAAGAAGGAUCUAAGGUACACCAAAAAUUUAGAAAAAUGUUAAAAUGGAAACAUAGUAAUUUAAAAUCCAAAAUAACAUAAAACAACAAUAAACACACAACUUUUUUUAAAAGGAAUUUGCAUCUGAUAACCAUAAAAACAAAUAUAAUUAGCUAUAUGGAAAAACACUGUUACUCUUUCCAUAAUACCUGCAAUGUCCCUACUUAUGCAGUACGUCUACUUCUGACACGAGCUAGGAGCUAAGGAACAUGCACGUGUCCUCAUUAUUACGAGCUGAGAAAUAAAACAUUCGAAGUUUUCGAAGUUAAAUCCGCGACGGAGAAGCAUAGGAAGAAGAACAUUUACCGUGGGAAACAUAUAUGGGCGUCAGAGAUUGGAGAUCCAAGAAAUUGCGCCAGAGUCUGGCUCGGGACAUUCAACACGACGGAGGAAGCCGCCAUGGUUUAUGACCUUGGGGAUCCACGGCGAUAGUGCUGUUCGUUUCAUUGACGCAGGUUCCUGCGGUUGCGGCUGCGGCUGAGUCUGCGGCUGCGGCUGCGUCUAUUCCUUUGGUUGUUGUUCGUUUUGCAGCCGCAGACUCAGCCGCAGCCGCAGCCGCAGACGCAACUUGUUGUUCGUUUCUAAGACGCAGGACAUUGCCGCAGCCGCAGCCGCAGACGCAGAAAAUAGAUUUAGUUAUGUUCGUUUGGUUGCCGCAGACGCAAUUUUCAUUUAUUUCAUAUUUUAAUUUUAUGAAUUUUGUGAAUUUAUACAAUUGUAUUUUAAAUAAAUAAAAUGUAGAUUUAAAUU